GGUUCUUUACUGGGUAGAAGAGAAUUUUGAAAAUUCUCAUGAAGUGUUCGAUUCACUUAAGAAUUU
rnacentral:tRNA from 1 species